AUACUACACCAAAUGAAAUAUAUCUGAAAAUCUUAUAAAUUUCAUAAACAUGAUUACGUAUAGUUUUUAGUAGAUGUGGUUUACAUUCAGAAACAAUAAUGUUGGGAUCAGGCUGUAAAUUUUCGAAGAACGGCUGCCCGUUCCAAUUGUUCCAUAUUUGUAUUGAAACCGGACUAUCAUUUAGUGGAGGAAGGAAAAAGCACGGGAAAUUAAUGAUUAUUGGAUUGUGAAGCAGCAAAACUAUGUUUCGGUUGUGUAAUAGAAGCGCACCAACCAGAUCAAUCGAGGAGAUUGUUCCGGAGAAAGAACUUCACCUGAACGGGAUAUUCAAAUUACGAUCAAGAUUUUCGUCGGGCAUCAGGUAAUCAAUUUUCGCCUCCGGAACGCCAACCCAAUACCUCGGCUCGCGCGAUCGACUUCCGGAACGAUGCUCGUGUGCAUCAAGCGGCAAUUUUUAUCAAUUACGGUGGAUUAGGAGCAGGUUCCAGCAUUUGAAAAAGGAACGUCGACCACUUUCAGCUGAACAUGUUUGUUUAAACCAUGCACACGACCGCCAUACCUAAAUAAUUUGUCAAUAAAAAAAUCAAAACUCAAAUCGCAAUAAAUCAUUUAAAAGAAAUCCGAAAAAAACGAAAACAUUUAUUUCAUUGCAUUGAAUUGUAAUUGAAAUCAAAUCGAAAAACUAUAAUAUUCAUUGGAAUUUCCAAUAAAGAAAAUCGGUACGAAAAUCUAUGCAUUUCAUUUUGUGUAUACAGUUGUAAAAAGUAUUGGAUUUUCUUUUAGUGCAAAAUCACUAAAAAAUCUGAUAA